rnacentral:rRNA from 1 species
AGCGGCGGACGGGUGAGUAACGCGUGGGUAGCCUGCCUCAUACAGGGGGAUAACAGUUGGAAACGGCUGCUAAUACCGCAUAAGCGCACAGUACCGCAUGGUACCGUGUGAAAAACUCCGGUGGUAUGAGAUGGACCCGCGUCUGAUUAGGUAGUUGGUGGGGUAACGGCCUACCAAGCCGACGAUCAGUAGCCGACCUGAGAGGGUGACCGGCCACAUUGGGACUGAGACACGGCCCAA